CAGUGCCGCGGUAAUACGUAGGGUGCAAGCGUUAAUCGGAAUUACUGGGCGUAAAGCGUGCGCAGGCGGUUAUAUAAGACAGAUGUGAAAUCCCCGGGCUCAACCUGGGAACUGCAUUUGUGACUGUAUAGCUAGAGUACGGCAGAGGGGGAUGGAAUUCCGCGUGUAGCAGUGAAAUGCGUAGAUAUGCGGAGGAACACCGAUGGCGAAGGCAAUCCCCUGGGCCUGUACUGACGCUCAUGCACGAAAGCGUGGGGAGCAAACAGGAUUAGAUACCCCUGUAGUCCCUGUCUCUUAUACA
rnacentral:rRNA from 1 species